rnacentral:rRNA from 1 species
AACGAACGCUGGCGGCGUGGAUAAGACAUGCAAGUCGAACGGGACUAAAUCUGUAGCAAUACAGGUUUAGUUUAGUGGCGAACGGGUGCGUAACACGUGGGCAAUCUGCCGAGAAGUGGGGGAUAGCUCGCCGAAAGGCGAAUUAAUACCGCAUAUGAUCAGUGAAGACAUCUUCACGACAUCAAAGCCGGGGCAACCUGGCGCUUCUUGAUGAGCCCGCGGCCUANCAGCUAGUUGGUGAGGUAACGGCUCACCAAGGCUAUGACGGGUAGCUGGUCUGAGAGGACGACCAGUCACACUGGAACUGAGACACGGUCCAGACACCUACGGGU